rnacentral:rRNA from 1 species
AAUCCAUAGGUUAAUGAGGCGAACCGGGGGAACUGAAACAUCUAAGUACCCCGAGGAAAAGAAAUCAACCGAGAUUCCCCCAGUAGCGGCGAGCGAACGGGGAGGAGCCCAGAGCCUGAAUCAGCAUGUGUGUUAGUGGAAGCGUCUGGAAAGGCGCGCGAUACAGGGUGACAGCCCCGUACACAAAAGCGCAUGUGCUGUGAGCUCGAUGAGUAGGGCGGGACACGUGGUAUCCUGUCUGAAUAUGGGGGGACCAUCCUCCAAGGCUAAAUACUCCUGACUGACCGAUAGUGAACCAGUACCGUGAGGGAAAGGCGAAAAGAACCCCGGCGAGGGGAGUGAAAAAGAACCUGAAACCGUGUACGUACAAGCAGUGGGAGCACCCUUUGGGGUGUGACUGCGUACCUUUUGUAUAAUGGGUCAGCGACUUAUAUUUUGUAGCAAGGUUAACCGUAUAGGGGAGCCGUAGGGAAACCGAGUCUUAACCGGGCGUUAAGUUGCAGGGUA